rnacentral:rRNA from 1 species
GAUGAACGCUGGCGGCGUGCCUAAUACAUGCAAGUCGAGCGAACGGACGAGAAGCUUGCUUUUCUGAUGUUAGCGGCGGACGGGUGAGUAACACGUGGAUAACCUACCUAUAAGACUGGGAUAACUUCGGGAAACCGGAGCUAAUACCGGAUAAUAUUUUGAACCGCAUGGUUCAAAAGUGAAAGACGGUCUUGCUGUCACUUAUAGAUGGAUCCGCGCUGCAAUAGCUAGUUGGUAAGGUAACGGCUUACCAAGGCAACUAUGCAUAGCCGACCUGAGAGGGUGAUCGGUCACACUGGAACUGAGACACGGUCCAGACUACUACGGGAGGCAGCAGUAGGGAAUCUUCCGCAACGGGCGAAAGCCUGACGGAGCAACGCCGCGUGAGUGAUGAAGGUCUUCGGAUCGUAAAACUCUGUUAUUAGGGAAGAACAUAUGUGUAAGUAACUGUGGACAUCUUGACGGUACCUAAUCAGAAAGCCACGGCUAACUACGUG